AACCUGUUGAAACUGUGACAAAUUUUAAAUUUUAGCCGCUGAAGGCUUUUAUCAGCGUGGACCUUCAUCGGUUCACUUUGACACCUGAUGACAGAAGCGUGGAGAAAAAAACAACAAGGUUAGCUUUCAGCAUCAAAUGCAACAGAAAUCCUCAGAGAAAGUCUGGAUUUAAAUGUUGAGGCGCAGUAGAGUUUACGGCCUGCAGGCGGUUGCUAUUGAUGGGUUUAAAAGAGCCAAUUGAUUUAAGCAUCCCUAAGGGAAGCAAUAGCAAUCUAUAACAACACUAUACAAACUAAAUGGAGACCCCCCCCCCCCCCAGUUAUUAUCACCCCUGCUAAAGACGGUAAUUUGAAUUAAUGUAUUAAAUAGGGAAUAAAAUCUAAUAUUACUGAUACUACAAAUAUUGAAAAUUUGAAUUUUUUUUUACAUUAGUUGCUGAUCUAAGACUUCCUGUUGCUCCAGGGGGAAAAUAUUACGUCGAUAAUAUUUAAAUAAUAUGGUCAAUUUACUACUUUUUUGUCUUUUCUAAAACCAAAAGUUGUGCCGGCUUCAACAGCGUAAGCGUAGCUUACAUCAAACAGUUUUGAUUAUUUUUUUCCACAUCCAGAUAAGAAGUCUGGUCAAAGUUGAUUCAAGAAGUUUGGGUCAUCAUAAAAGCUCAUCCUUAAAUCUGAAGAAGCAUCAUCUUCCUCCUGCCUUACGUAACCCAGCGGAGGCCCGUUACGUAACAGACCCAAAUCCUAUUAAUGUUAAUAAAGGAAGCGCGCUGGUGUAGGAGUCCAGCUGAUGAGGUUGGACGGCUGGACCGAGAAGUGGGCCGUGGCCUCUCUGGCUCUCCGGUCAGCACAGUGACGGGUCCUCAAUUCUGCUCUGAAGCAUCACCCCUCAGAGUAAAAUUUGAGUGUUUUAUUUAGAAACGAGACGAAAACAAAAGGAAAUCAUUCCUUUCGAAUGCAAAUGAAAAAUUUCCACCUUUAUCUUCUGUCGUGGAUGCGAGUAAUCUGGCAGGAUGGGAGCCUUUUUGGGACAAAUCCCUCGCCUUCGUGGGAGCUAUUUAAGGGCUUUAUUGUUUCUGUUUUUAGCUCCGUCUUCUCUCCCCUGGUUCCACGCUGCUUCAUGGAUGAAUUCACAGGUUCCUCUUGAACGACGGAGCCGGCUCUCCCUUCUAUCCGGUUCCCCCCUCUCCCCCCCCGGCUACCACUGCCAGCCUCGGUUUAAAAGUGCGCUAAUGGGAAGCAGACCGGCCGGAGUGGUCAGCUCCAGCCGGCCCUAAUGGAAAUCAAUGGGCUAUUCAUUAGAGCAGAAUUUAGGUGACACACCGAGGCUGGCCUAUCUGCCUCGUUUUAUACCUCGCUGACUCUGUCUUCUCUCUACUAUCUCCUUUUCUUUGAAAUAUGGCUGCUUGUCGCCGUCGUGCUCUAUUAAGCCAGCUGGAGUUAAUCACAAAGGCACUAUGUUACGCUCCUGUUAUGUUAUGGCGUCGUAGAUCAUUUUAAAUAACUUUCCUCACCGAAGGAUUUCACCUUUCUGUUCACGUUAGGAGGCAGAGCAGCCCACAAUUUGACAGCCGAUAAGCGAAAUUAUGGAGUAUCGGGACAGUUUUCCCGCUUAAAUGCCGACCUCAAUUUGUGGCUGACAGCUAAGCGAAAGGGUGCUAGCUUUCAUCGCCUUUGCAUGGGAAGCUCCGAAACAAAAUAAGAAAGAAAACCAUGAAAGAAGAGGGAACGUGUAGAAUGACUAGGAACAAGUGAGGAGAAGGAGGUGAGAGGGGGAAAAGGCAGAGCGAGAGAAGGAUGGGCAAAGCGUUUUCUUGGCCCCGGGGCCGGCGAACGACAGUUGCCAUAGCAACGUGUUACCCACGACCCACUUCAGUCCCUCGCAGACGCCUCACUCCGCCUUCACACGCGAGCACAACCCAAAGAUUGGCGUCAAGCGGCAGCUGAAGCUGAAGCUGCGGAGUGGCGCAGAUGACGGCAGCUUUUCUCUACUCAGAGUGAUCAGCUGCAUGGUGGCGGUCAGUGCUGCAGCUGGAUUUACUGUCGUAGCUGCAGUGACACUUGGACUCACCCUGAGAAAAACACACUGCAGAUGCUGCAGACAGUCUGAAAGUCUUGAACUAGACGGUGAAAAUGAAGGGGAGUACGCCAGCCUUCAGCAGCCUGAGGAGGAUUUCUACCAGACUACAUCUAUGAUGAACCAUCCGWAUGUCAACGCUCUGGGGAGGAAAAGUAAAAAGGCCUGUUUAGAAACUGAACAACAAACAGAAGACAUCUAUGAAAACCUGUAAAACAAAACAAAUAUUCUGUGAUGAAAGAAAACUUCCAGAAAAUCUGCUGAUCUGGGAACAUCUACCUGAGGAUUUUACCUUUACAAACAUUUAGAAAUUACAAUAUUUAGUUUUUAUUAUCUUAACUCAAUAAAGCUUCAAUUUCUGCA